GCGGCUUUAGCUCACUUGGGAGAGCGCCAGACUGAAGUCAACUUCUGUCAUUAAUCUGGAGGCACUGUGUUCGAUCCACAGGUAUGUUGCA
rnacentral:tRNA from 2 species